AAUGCUAAAAGAAUGGAAGUUUAAGAAAAAACUUUUUUAAAAAUAAAAAUUAAAUUUUUUUUAAUUUGUGCAAAACCAAUUAUUUAUAUUAAAGACAAGAAGACCCUAUGAAUUUAUGAUUAAAUAAACUAAAAAUUUUUAGUUUAUUUAAUCUUGAUUGGGGCAAUCAAAAAAUAUUAAUAACUUUUUUAAAUUUAAAUGAUCUAUUAUUAAUAAUCUAAUGGAAUAAAUACUCUAGGGAUAACAGCG
rnacentral:rRNA from 1 species